rnacentral:rRNA from 1 species
UUAAGCGACUAAGCGUACACGGUGGAUGCCCUGGCAGUCAGAGGCGAUGAAGGACGUGCUAAUCUGCGAUAAGCGUCGGUAAGGUGAUAUGAACCGUUAUAACCGGCGAUUUCCGAAUGGGGAAACCCAGUGUGUUUCGACACACUAUCAUUAACUGAAUCCAUAGGUUAAUGAGGCGAACCGGGGGAACUGAAACAUCUAAGUACCCCGAGGAAAAGAAAUCAACCGAGAUUCCCCCAGUAGCGGCGAGCGAACGGGGAGCAGCCCAGAGCCUGAAUCAGUGUGUGUGUUAGUGGAAGCGUCUGGAAAGGCGCGCGAUACAGGGUGACAGCCCCGUACACAAAAAUGCACAUGCUGUGAGCUCGAUGAGUAGGGCGGGACACGUGGUAUCCUGUCUGAAUAUGGGGGGACCAUCCUCCAAGGCUAAAUACUCCUGACUGACCGAUAGUGAACCAGUACCGUGAGGGAAAGGCGAAAAGAACCCCGGCGAGGGGAGUGAAAAAGAACCUGAAACCGUGUACGUACAAGCAGUGGGAGCACGCUUAGGCGUGUGACUGCGUACCUUUUGUAUAAUGGGUCAGCGACUUAUAUUCUGUAGCAAGGUUAACCGAAUAGGGGAGCCGAAGGGAAACCGAGUCUUAACUGGGCGUUAAGUUGCAGGGUAUAGACCCGAAACCCGGUGAUCUAGCCAUGGGCAGGUUGAAGGUUGGGUAACACUAACUGGAGGACCGAACCGACUAAUGUUGAAAAAUUAGCGGAUGACUUGUGGCUGGGGGUGAAAGGCCAAUCAAACCGGGAGAUAGCUGGUUCUCCCCGAAAGCUAUUUAGGUAGCGCCUCGUGAAUUCAUCUCCGGGGGUAGAGCACUGUUUCGGCAAGGGGGUCAUCCCGACUUACCAACCCGAUGCAAACUGCGAAUACCGGAGAAUGUUAUCACGGGAGACACACGGCGGGUGCUAACGUCCGUCGUGAAGAGGGAAACAACCCAGACCGCCAGCUAAGGUCCCAAAGUCAUGGUUAAGUGGGAAACGAUGUGGGAAGGCCCAGACAGCCAGGAUGUUGGCUUAGAAGCAGCCAUCAUUUAAAGAAAGCGUAAUAGCUCACUGGUCGAGUCGGCCUGCGCGGAAGAUGUAACGGGGCUAAACCAUGCACCGAAGCUGCGGCAGCGACACUAUGUGUUGUUGGGUAGGGGAGCGUUCUGUAAGCCUGUGAAGGUGGCCUGUGAGGGUUGCUGGAGGUAUCAGAAGUGCGAAUGCUGACAUAAGUAACGAUAAAGCGGGUGAAAAGCCCGCUCGCCGGAAGACCAAGGGUUCCUGUCCAACGUUAAUCGGGGCAGGGUGAGUCGACCCCUAAGGCGAGGCCGAAAGGCGUAGUCGAUGGGAAACAGGUUAAUAUUCCUGUACUUGGUGUUACUGCGAAGGGGGGACGGAGAAGGCUAUGUUGGCCGGGCGACGGUUGUCCCGGUUUAAGCGUGUAGGCUGGUUUUCCAGGCAAAUCCGGAAAAUCAAGGCUGAGGCGUGAUGACGAGGCACUACGGUGCUGAAGCAACAAAUGCCCUGCUUCCAGGAAAAGCCUCUAAGCAUCAGGUAACAUCAAAUCGUACCCCAAACCGACACAGGUGGUCAGGUAGAGAAUACCAAGGCGCUUGAGAGAACUCGGGUGAAGGAACUAGGCAAAAUGGUGCCGUAACUUCGGGAGAAGGCACGCUGAUAUGUAGGUGAAGUCCCUCGCGGAUGGAGCUGAAAUCAGUCGAAGAUACCAGCUGGCUGCAACUGUUUAUUAAAAACACAGCACUGUGCAAACACGAAAGUGGACGUAUACGGUGUGACGCCUGCCCGGUGCCGGAAGGUUAAUUGAUGGGGUCAGCGCAAGCGAAGCUCUUGAUCGAAGCCCCGGUAAACGGCGGCCGUAACUAUAACGGUCCUAAGGUAGCGAAAUUCCUUGUCGGGUAAGUUCCGACCUGCACGAAUGGCGUAAUGAUGGCCAGGCUGUCUCCACCCGAGACUCAGUGAAAUUGAACUCGCUGUGAAGAUGCAGUGUACCCGCGGCAAGACGGAAAGACCCCGUGAACCUUUACUAUAGCUUGACACUGAACAUUGAGCCUUGAUGUGUAGGAUAGGUGGGAGGCUUUGAAGUGUGGACGCCAGUCUGCAUGGAGCCGACCUUGAAAUACCACCCUUUAAUGUUUGAUGUUCUAACGUGGGCCCGUAAUCCGGGUUGCGGACAGUGUCUGGUGGGUAGUUUGACUGGGGCGGUCUCCUCCUAAAGAGUAACGGAGGAGCACGAAGGUUGGCUAAUCCUGGUCGGACAUCAGGAGGUUAGUGCAAUGGCAUAAGCCAGCUUGACUGCGAGCGUGACGGCGCGAGCAGGUGCGAAAGCAGGUCAUAGUGAUCCGGUGGUUCUGAAUGGAAGGGCCAUCGCUCAACGGAUAAAAGGUACUCCGGGGAUAACAGGCUGAUACCGCCCAAGAGUUCAUAUCGACGGCGGUGUUUGGCACCUCGAUGUCGGCUCAUCACAUCCUGGGGCUGAAGUAGGUCCCAAGGGUAUGGCUGUUCGCCAUUUAAAGUGGUACGCGAGCUGGGUUUAGAACGUCGUGAGACAGUUCGGUCCCUAUCUGCCGUGGGCGCUGGAGAACUGAGGGGGGCUGCUCCUAGUACGAGAGGACCGGAGUGGACGCAUCACUGGUGUUCGGGUUGUCAUGCCAAUGGCACUGCCCGGUAGCUAAAUGCGGAAGAGAUAAGUGCUGAAAGCAUCUAAGCACGAAACUUGCCCCGAGAUGAGUUCUCCCUGACUCCUUGAGAGUCCUGAAGGAACGUUGAAGACGACGACGUUGAUAGGCCGGGUGUGUAAGCGCAGCGAUGCGUUGAGCUAACCGGUACUAAUGAACCGUGAGGCUUAACCUU